GGUGGCUUAGUGGUAGAGUGCUUGCCUUGCAUGCAUUAGUCCUGAGUUCAAUUCCUCAGUACCA
rnacentral:tRNA from 1 species